GUUAGUGUAGCUUAAUUAAAGCACGGCACUGAAAAUGCCAAGAUAGAUUUUAGUAAAUCUCACAAACA
rnacentral:tRNA from 1 species